rnacentral:rRNA from 1 species
UACGUAGGGUGCGAGCGUUGUCCGGAUUUACUGGGCGUAAAGGGCGCGUAGGCGGCGUGUCAAGUCAGGCGUGAAAGCCCCGGGCUCAACCUGGGAACCGCGCUUGAGACUGGCAUGCUCGAGUUCGGGAGAGGGUGGUGGAAUUCCCAGUGUAGAGGUGAAAUUCGUAGAUAUUGGGAAGAACACCGAUGGCGAAGGCAGCCAUCUGGACCGACACUGACGCUGAGGCGCGAAAGCGUGGGGAGCAAACAGG